rnacentral:rRNA from 1 species
UACGUAGGGUGCAAGCGUUAAUCGGAAUUACUGGGCGUAAAGCGUGCGCAGGCGGUCGUGCAAGACAGAUGUGAAAUCCCCGGGCUUAACCUGGGAACUGCAUUUGUGACUGCACGGCUGGAGUGCGGCAGAGGGGGAUGGAAUUCCGCGUGUAGCAGUGAAAUGCGUAGAUAUGCGGAGGAACACCGAUGGCGAAGGCAAUCCCCUGGGCCUGCACUGACGCUCAUGCACGAAAGCGUGGGGAGCAGACAGG